rfam:Populus trichocarpa scaffold_12_contig_58, whole genome shotgun sequence.
UAAUUUGUUUGGGGCAGAUUCUCAUUUAGUUAUAUCAGACUCACACCUAACUGUUCAGAAUUACUCACUACUUCAUGAACAAUAAUUUUUUGAGAUUUUAAUUGAAGU